rnacentral:rRNA from 1 species
GACGAACGCUGGCGGCGUGGAUUAGGCAUGCAAGUCGAACGGUAUCAUCCUUUCGGGGGUGAGAGAGUGGCGAACUGGUGAGUAACACGUAGGUUAUCUACCCUCAAGACGGGGACAACCCAGGGAAACUUGGGCUAAUACCGGAUGUGAGCAACUUUUAGUUGUUUGAAAGGUGGCGUAAGCUGUCGCUUGGGGAUGAGCCUGCGUCCUAUUAGUUAGUUGGUGAGGUAACGGCUCACCUAGGCAAUGAUAGGUAGGCGGCCUUAACGGGUGGUCGCCCACACUGGGAUUGAGAUACGGCCCAGACUCCUACGGGAGGCAGCAGUCGAGAAUAGUCUACAAUGGUCGGAAGACUGAUAGUGCGACGCCGCGUGAACGAUGAAUCCCUUCGGGGUUAAAGUUCUUUUAUAUGUGAGCAGUGCUUCUUAUAUUAACAGUAUGGGGAAGAGAUAUUAGCAUAUGAAAUAAGCAAACGGCUAAACUCCGUGCCCAGCAGCCGCGGUAAAACG